GCCAAGGGGGCGGCAGGCGCGCGCGGGAGAAUCAGAACGCUGCCGGCGCAGAGUGGAGGCUACGCCAGGUUCCGAACUCUGGUCCCUGAAGACCACCAAAGGAAAUGAUCCAUCACCAUCUCCUGAGACGUAAACGAGGUACACCUAGGGGAAAGUCCCAAUGAUUCCAGUGCCUUCCACUAAGAAAAUGACUUCUCCAAGUUGGACAGCUCAAGGGGGAGAGCCUCCCUAAAUGUUUCAGGGGCCUCUACUCUGCCCACCGCAUCCCCAUGUGUAGCCUUAUUGACAAGCACAGACCAGUAUGAUGACCCCAUGAUGAGGAAGGCGUGUGCAAAUUUUGACCCUCUCCUUAAAUAUAUCAUCCAAG